AUUACCUAUAACAUUUAUAGAGUUAUUAAAACAACAUCUUCUGACAUAACUUUUUGUUUAAAGGCACAUUCAAAAGAUCAGUUAAAGGCUAAUUGAUUAAUUAUUUGGUUUGCCUUGUGUGUAUAUACACCACUGUCAAGCCAAUGGGACAUGUGCUAUCCUGCAAGGACUGCUAGCAGAGCCGGGCAAGGCCUACCAAGCAUCUGUAGACCGCAUGACCAUUUUGAAACAUCAAGGCUUUACAAUCAGAGAGAGUUCAGAGACAGAUAUAUUGACUAUUUCCAGAACAAGAUCAACAGCCCUUUCCUGAAGAACAUUGUGGUGAACCUAGAGGAUCGAUUCCCAGACCUGCCACUCCUCCAGAAGUUGGAGGUGACUUGAACACCCGGAAAUUCCCUGGGGAGGAGCCAACCUGCCAUGGGAAAGAUGGCAUUUAACAUUGACCUGGCUGAGCACUUCCACCUUCCAGUAGACAAGACCCUAAGUGAGUGGAGGCAGGUGUGGAGCACUCUGAGUGACAGCUGACUUGCAGCAGAACAGGCCAUGGAGUGGGUGGACAACAUUUUCAUAACAGAGGGAUGAGAAGUUGACCUUGAGAGAGGACUAGAACUUCAAGAACUGCCCCGCCAGGAGAGUAUGGCAGGCCAAAGUUGAUUGAAAAGAUUAUGUCCAGACUUAUGGGUCAGUAGCAGCAUUAGUGACAACAUGGACUUGAAUCUUCCCAGGGAUGAGAGGCCAGGACUGAAAUGGGCUGCAGAGGCCAGAAGUAACAAUAUAGCCAACAUUGUUCGAGGUCUUGUUGCUACAAAGCUCGACUAUCCGAAGAAUAUGAAGAGCUAUACUACUCACCCUGGCAUCGGUAUGGUGCCGGCAUUGGCGUUGGCGUCACACCUUGGUUAAGGUUUUGCAUCCAAGCACACAUAGGUUAAUUUCUCAGCAACUACUUGAGAAACUUGCACAAAGUAAAACGCUUCAACUGACACCUGAGCAUUGGCAUAAUUAUGAUUAUUGAUUUUAAUUAUGAAGUUCAACCAGGUAAUUCAACAAUGUGACAAUACACCAAGUACUGGAAUGAAGCAGUAAAAUAUAAGGUAACAUGUGCACAAGUUGCAGGAUGCAACAAGAUCAGCUGUUCCCAUACUGAUGGCUAUGAAGAACCAGUUCCCCACUGAUGGAGAUAUAUUAUGAAAAUGUUUUUGGUGUUGGCCAGAUUUAGAUACACUGUGUUGUGUUUGGCCAGAAAUGCAGAGUGGUAACACCAGUCACCUAAGCCAAUAUUGCCCUCACAGACAAGAGUGUGAAGUAACAGCCCCUGCAGUUUACAGCAAAGCCCUCAACUGUAGCCCUACAAACUUCAUAUACUGCCGAUGGCGUAGAUGCAGUGAACUUUGCCAGAUUUCCAGCUAUGUUGAAUUGACAUCUCCAGCUGAACUAGAGCCAGGAUUGAUAUCAGACUGCUUGACAGCACGGACCUCUUUCUUGGGUGGAUGGAUUCAGAGAUGACCUACAGAUGCAGCCAUGACUGUGGCACAUGAAUGUUAUAGAUGGUGACUGUAAAGAAAUGAAGAUAGCAGAAAAAUGAAACUAUCUUAAUAUGGUUUUCUGGAAUUAAAUUAGCAGACAAAGUAUUCAUAUUUUUGUGGAAAAAUAAUGUCAUAGCUGAAAUAUGUUUUGCAAAUUCAAAAUGGUAAUGUUUUUCUCAUAUUUUAUGCUGGCAUCACAAAUAUUAUCAUUGGCUCUGUAUACGGUAAUCUCUCACUUCAAAACAUAACUAAUUGGACUAUUUGAAGAUUAAAUCUUCAUUAUUUUUAUUUAAUAUAAAAUGCUAUGCUGGUUUUACUGUCUUA